AGUGAACCGGGAGGUACUACCAGGUAAGGAAGGUGCGGUGGCCCCAGCCGUGGGUGAGAGGAGCUCCGCUCUGACACCCCCGCUCCUGUAGGUCGCCGCCGUUGCUCCGCUCGCUCAGAGAGAGCAUGGCCCUGAGAGGCGUCUCUGUGCGGCUGCUGAGCCGCGGACCCGGCCUGCAUGUCCUUCGCACGUGGGUCUCGUCGGCUGCGCAGACCGAGAAAGGCGGGAGGACACAGGGCCAACUGGCCAAGUGUAAGGACCUCUGGUCGCGCCGUGUGUCUGCUGCCCCUGUUCAGCUGUCUGUCUGCUCCAGGUGGACUCUGUCCCGGAAUCCGAGGGCUGCCCGGGCGGGGUGGCAGGGUCGUGGCCAGGGUCAGAGGCACUAAGGCAGUGAGUGCGCUGUGCCUGCGGGGCCGGAGAAAGGUCACCUGGUCAGUCUCGCUUGCAGCUCGCAGUAGCCGGGGGGCGACAUGGGUGUUGGGGGGGCAGGGCUGAUGAGGGUCUGAGAAGAGAGGGCACAGGGAUCUUGCGGACUGGACCGAGGCGAAUUCCCCUUCCCAGCCUCGCGUCCCCAGUUUGACUGGCAGGACCCGCUGGUGCUGGAGGAGCAGCUGACCACAGAUGAGAUCCUCAUCAGGGACACCUUCCGCACCUACUGCCAGGAGAAACUCAUGCCUCGCAUCCUGUUGGCCAAUCGCAACGAAGUUUUUCAUCGGGAGAUCAUUUCGGAGAUGGGGGAGUUGGGUGUGCUGGGCCCCACCAUCAAAGGAUAUGGCUGUGCUGGGGUUUCGUCUGUGGCGUAUGGGCUCCUGGCCCGAGAGCUGGAGCGGGUGGACAGUGGCUACAGGUCGGCGAUGAGUGUCCAGUCCUCCCUCGUCAUGCACCCUAUCUAUGCCUAUGGCAGCGAGGAACAGCGGCAGAAGUACCUGCCCCGGCUGGCUAAGGGGGAGCUGCUGGGAUGCUUUGGGCUCACAGAGCCCAACAGCGGAAGUGACCCUAGCAGCAUGGAGACCAGAGCCCGCUACAACUCAUCCAACAAGAGCUACACCCUCAAUGGGACCAAGACCUGUGUGGGCUCGGUGUGAAGAUGGCUGCAUUCGGGGCUUCCUGCUGGAGAAGGGGAUGCGGGGUCUCUCGGCCCCCCGGAUCCAGGGCAAGUUCUCGCUGCGGGCCUCAGCCACAGGCAUGAUCAUCAUGGACGGUGUGGAGGUGCCAGAGGAGAACGUGCUCCCUGGUGCAUCCAGCCUGGGGGGUCCCUUCGGCUGCCUGAACAACGCCCGGUACGGCAUCGCGUGGGGCGUGCUUGGAGCUUCGGAGUUCUGCUUGCACACAGCCCGGCAGUACACCCUCGACAGGAUGCAGUUUGGUGUCCCGCUGGCCAGGAACCAGCUGAUUCAGAAGAAGCUGGCAGACAUGCUCACUGAAAUUACCCUGGGCCUUCACGCCUGCCUGCAGCUUGGCCGCUUGAAGGACCAGGACAAGGCUGCCCCCGAGAUGGUCUCUCUGCUGAAGAGGAAUAACUGCGGGAAAGCCCUGGACAUCGCCCGCCAGGCCCGAGACAUGCUGGGGGGGAAUGGGAUUUCUGACGAGUAUCACGUGAUCCGGCACGCCAUGAACCUGGAGGCCGUGAACACCUACGAAGGUACACAUGACAUUCACGCCCUGAUCCUUGGGAGAGCUAUCACGGGAAUCCAGGCGUUCACGGCCAGCAAGUGAGUCCGCUCCAUCAGGGGCCCGAAACUCUCAAGCCCCUUUCUGGAGAGAUGCCUGGCUGGACCACAGGAGCGCUGUGCUCUGAGC
rnacentral:sRNA from 1 species